rnacentral:rRNA from 1 species
UUGGAGGGCAAGUCUGGUGCCAGCAGCCGCGGUAAUUCCAGCUCCAAUAGCGUAUAUUAAAGUUGUUGCAGUUAAAAAGCUCGUAGUUGAAUUUCGGGAUCAAUUUGUUGGUCGUGCCUCGGUACGUACUGGCAUUAUUGGUUUCUACCUUCUGAAGAACCUUGAUGUCAUUAAUUUGGUGUCUUGGGGAAUCAGGACUGUUACUUUGAAAAAAUUAGAGUGUUUAAAGCAGGCAUACGCUUGAAUACAUUAGCAUGGAAUAAUGAAAUAGGACGUUCGAUUCUAUUUUGUUGGUUUCUAGGAUCGACGUAAUGAUUAAUAGGGAUAGUUGGGGGCAUUAGUAUUCAAUUGUCAGAGGUGAAAUUCUUGGAUUUAUUGAAGACUAACUACUGCGAAAGCAUUUGCCAAGGAUGUUUUCAUUAAUCAAGAACGAAAGUUAGGGGAUCGAAGACGAUCAGAUACCGUCGUAGUCUUAACCAUAAACUAUGCCGACUAGGGAUCGGAUGAUGUUAUUUUUAAUGACUCAUUCGGCGCCUUACGGGAAAC